GUUAAGUGCGCUCUCAGGGGUGAUCUGUGCAUCUGCGUGUGGGCGGCGAGUUAGUGUGAAAGCCAGGCUGCAGACAGGAAGUAAUGGGGGAGGAUCCAAGGAGGGGCCAGUGUCUGCAGAGGUGCUGCCACCUGAACCACACCUGGAAGGCUGGAGGAGGUGUGGCUUCGCCGAGAGAGAAGUAGGGCAAGUGCUCAAAGCCGAGGGAAAGGUCUUACCAGCAGCGCCAAGUUGCCAAAACUCAUGAAGUCAAGGGCUAACACCUUGCAAGAAAUGUGCAGGAGUAUCUGGAAGAGUGGGUGCUGGCUGUAACACGGAGGAGUUAUGGGCCCAGUGGUUGCAGCCUGGCUGUGUUGCAGCCGGUCCUUGGUAAUAAGGAAGACGCGCAGCCUACAGAAAGUGUUCACAGUUGGCUUGCUCCCUCAGUGACUCUGCCUUUCCUGACUGGCACGCAGGAGUGUCUGCUGAGCUCCUUUAGAAACACAGGCACACGGAAAACUUGGCCUCUGUGUCCCAGAAGCUUACAAGCUCUUUGCUGAGCUAGGACAAAGCACAUCCCAUCCUCCAGAGUAAGACCUCCCAUGAUAAAUGCUGUUGUGAAUUAUCCUCAGAAGAAAAUCCUGAUGCAGUUCUUCAUCAGUUAUCUUAUCUUCAGGAAGGGGAAUUGAUGCACUGGGCUGUGCGAGGCAGGCUGCGUUGACCUCACUCUGAAACCUGGCCAGUGGGCAAUCCCUUUACUUUCACUCCCUCUCUGAUAAUCUUUAGGUUUUCCCCUGCGCAUACCUGAGGUUGUUUUGUUGUUUUUGGUUGUUCAUUUUAUUAAUUCCUGAGUUACUGAUUGGUAGCACAGGUUUUGCCUUUCCUUGGAAGGGAAAAAAAAUACUAUUUCAUGUAAGCUCUGGAUUUCAUGGAC